rnacentral:rRNA from 1 species
AGCGAACGCUGGCGGCAGGCCUAACACAUGCAAGUCGAGCGGCCGUAGCAAUACGGCAGCGGCAGACGGGAGAGUAACACGUGGGAACGUACCUUUCAGUUCGGAACAACCCAGGGAAACUUGGGCUAAUACCGGAUACGCCCGUAAGGGGAAAGAUUUAUCGCUGAAAGAUCGGCCCGCGUCUGAUUAGCUAGUUGGUGAGGUAAUGGCUCACCAAGGCGACGAUCAGUAGCUGGUCUGAGAGGAUGAUCAGCCUCACUGGGACUGAGACACGGCCCAGACUCCUACGGGAGGCAGCAGUGGGGAAUAUUGGACAAUGGGCGCAAGCCUGAUCCAGCCAUGCCGCGUGGAUGAUGAAGGCCCUAGGGUUGUAAAGUCCUUUCGGCGGGGAAGAUAAUGACGGUACCCGCAGAAGAAGCCCCGGCUAACUUCGUGCCAGCCGCCGCUGUAAAAC